rnacentral:rRNA from 1 species
GUCGAACGGAAACCCUUCGGGGUGAAAGUGGCGAAAGGGCGAGGAAUACGAUCGAACGUACCCCAAGGUGGGGGAUAGCGCUGGGAAACUGGCGGUAAUACCCCAUGUGCUCUACGGAGGAAAGAUUUAUCGCCUCGGGAGCGGCGAUCGUCCUAUCAGGUAGUUGGUGAGGUAAUGGCUCACCAAGCCGAAGACGGGUAGCGGGUGUGAGAGCAUGACCCGCCGCAUCGGAACUGAGACACUGUCCGGACUCCUACGGGAGGCUGCAGCGACGAAUCUUCCGCAAUGGGCGCAAGCCUGACGGAGCAAUGCCGCGUGUGGGAUGAAGCGCCUUCGGCGUGUAAACCACUGUCAGGUUCCAGGAACACUGACCGGAACCAGAGGAAGGGCCGGCUAACCCUGUGCCAGCAGCCGCGGUAAGACAGGGGGCCCAAGCGUUAAUCGGAAUUACUGGGCGUAAAGCGUGCGCAGGCGGUUUUGUAAGACAGAUGUGAAAUCCCCGGGCUUAACCUGGGAACUGCAUUUGUGACUGCAAGGCUAGAGUAUGGCAGAGGGGGGUAGAAUUCCACGUGUAGCAGUGAAAUGCGUAGAUAUGUGGAGGAAUACCGAUGGCGAAGGCAGCCCCCUGGGUCAAUACUGACGCUCAUGCACGAAAGCGUGGGGAGCAAACAGGAUUAGAUACCCUGGUAGUCCACGCCCUAAACGAUGUCAACUAGGUGUUGGGGGAGGAGACUU